GACGAACGCUGGCGGCGUGCUUAACACAUGCAAGUCGAACGGAAAGGCCCUGCUUUUGUGGGGUGCUCGAGUGGCGAACGGGUGAGUAACACGUGAGUAACCUGCCCUUGACUUUGGGAUAACUUCAGGAAACUGGGGCUAAUACCGGAUAGGAGCUCCUGCUGCAUGGUGGGGGUUGGAAAGUUUCGGCGGUUGGGGAUGGACUCGCGGCUUAUCAGCUUGUUGGUGGGGUAGUGGCUUACCAAGGCUUUGACGGGUAGCCGGCCUGAGAGGGUGACCGGCCACAUUGGGACUGAGAUACGACCCAGACUCCUACGGGAGGCAACAGUGGGGAAUAUUGCACAAUGGGCGGAAGCCUGAUGCAGCAACGCCGCGUGCGGGAUGACGGCCUUCGGGUUGUAAACCGCUUUCGCCUGUGACGAAGCGUGAGUGACGGUAAUGGGUAAAGAAGCACCGGCUAACUACGU
rnacentral:rRNA from 1 species